UUGGGCACUUCUUCAGUCUGGAUGUUGAUGGCAGGACAAAGGGGCACCUGGACCAUGGACAACGUGGUAGAGAAGAGUUUGGAAGGGCCCCUGGCACCUUCUACAGAUGAGCCCUCCCAGAAAAGGGGAGACCUGGUAGAAAUCUUAAAUGGGGAUAAGGUAAAAUUUGACGACGCUGGACUCUCCUUAAUUCUGCAGAAUGGCCUGGAGACCCUCCGAGUGGAAAACGCUCUGACAGAUGUCAUCUUGUGUGUGGACAUUCAGGAAUUCUCCUGCCACCGCGUGGUGCUUGCCGCGGCCAGCAACUAUUUCAGGGCCAUGUUCUGCAAUGAUUUAAAGGAAAAGUAUGAGGAGAGGAUCAUCAUCAAAGGGGUCGACGCGGAGACCAUGCACACUCUUCUGAACUACACGUACACCAGCAAGGCGCUGAUCACCAAGCAGAAUGUCCAGCGGGUCCUGGAAGCUGCUAACCUUUUCCAGUUCCUGCGGAUGGUGGAUGCCUGUGCGAGCUUCCUCACAGAAGCCUUGAACCCAGAAAACUGUGUUGGAAUACUGAGGCUGGCAGACACACAUUCCUUGGACAGUCUAAAGAAGCAGGUUCAAAGUUACAUCAUCCAGAACUUUGUGCAGAUUCUGAACUCCGAAGAGUUCCUUGAACUUCCUGUGGAUACCCUGUACCACAUCUUGAAGAGUGAUGACCUUUAUGUGACAGAAGAGUCUCAGGUGUUUGAGACUGUGAUGAGCUGGGUCAGGCACAAACAGUCAGAACGACUCUGCUUGCUCCCCUAUGUCCUGGAGAACGUGCGCUUGCCGCUUCUGGACCCAUGGUACUUUGUGGAGAUGGUGGAAGCGGAUCCUCUCAUCAGACAAUGCCCAGAGGUCUUCCCGCUGCUACAGGAAGCCAGGAUGUACCACCUUUCUGGCAAUGAGAUCAUUUCGGAGCGCACCAAGCCCAGGAUGCAUGAGUUCCAGUCUGAGGUGUUCAUGAUCAUCGGUGGCUGCACGAAGGAUGAACGUUUUGUGGCGGAGGUAACCUGCCUGGAUCCCCUGAGGCGCAGCCGCCUGGAGGUGGCCAAGCUCCCCAUGACAGAGCACGAGCUGGACAGUGAGAAUAAGAAGUGGGUGGAGUUUGCAUGCGUGACAUUAAAAAAUGAGGUCUACAUCUCAGGUGGCAAAGAAACACAGCAUGAUGUUUGGAAAUAUAAUUCUUCAAUCAACAAGUGGAUUCAAAUUGAGUAUUUGAACAUAGGCCGCUGGAGGCAUAAGAUGGUGGUGCUUGGGGGCAAGGUCUAUGUGAUCGGAGGUUUCGAUGGCUUGCAGAGGAUCAACAACGUGGAGACCUAUGACCCCUUCCACAACUGCUGGUCAGAGGCUGCACCCCUCCUUAUCCAUGUCAGUUCCUUCGCAGCCACCAGCCAUAAGAAGAAGCUCUAUGUGAUUGGGGGAGGGCCCAAUGGGAAACUGGCCACGGACAAGACUCAGUGUUACGACCCUUCAACCAAUAAGUGGAAUUUAAAGUCGACCAUGCCAGUAGAGGCUAAAUGCAUCAAUGCAGUGAGUUUCCGGGACCGUAUCUAUGUGGUUGGAGGGGCCAUGAGAGCGCUGUACGCCUACAGCCCUCUGGAGGACAGCUGGUGCCUGGUGACCCAGCUCAGCCACGAGAGGGCCAGCUGCGGCAUCGCGCCCUGCAACAACCGGCUCUACAUCACUGGGGGGCGGGACGAGAAGAACGAGGUCAUCGCCACGGUGCUGUGCUGGGACCCCGAGGCCCAGAAACUGACGGAGGAGUGCGUCCUGCCUCGGGGGGUGUCGCACCACGGCAGUGUCACCAUCAGGAAGUCGUACACCCACAUUCGGAGGAUCGUGCCUGGAGCUGUGUCGGUCUGACUGCGGGAGCGCGGAGGGCGGAGCCACGCUGGGAGCCCUCCUCCCUCUCGCCCGCAUCGGUCCCUCUAAAGCAGCUAGCGGAGCUUGACUUACAGGCUGUGCAUACAUCAGGGGUUCACCGCAGCUCCCCAUGGCGGCUCCUUGGAAGUCACAGCUUUGGGACUUGAGACCAGCCAGGACUGUCUGUGAGACCUACCUCAGGAGGAAAGAAGAAUAAUACUUGACAUUCAAGACACACCUGUCCCAUGCCAGGUUCGAUACCGGGCACUUUUGUAUACCAAUUCCUUUAACCGUCAAAUGACCUGGUGACUGGAUUUUAUUACUCCCAUUCUACAGGAGGCCCAUUGUGGACUGGAACUGUCAUGGCUGGACAGAACUGUACCUUCAGCACAGCCCAGUGCCCUAGCCUCUUAAUGUCCAACAGUUGUAUUGCAAUGUAGAAGAGGUUUUUGCAGAGACUCAGAAUACCGGUUUUGUUUUUCCGGGGCGGGGGGAGGGUUGUCUUUGGUUUUGUUUCUUCAGUGUAAACAUCCUUGCAUUGCUGGCCACUGUUGAAUGACUGGCUCUUCUUGACAGCACACUUUCUACUUUUUAGACAGUGAUUUGGGUCCAUGUCCCUGUGACCCCACCCUCCUGGAACCUUCGUUUUCAGGAUCCUUUUAAUCCCUUCUAUUUGGUUUUUGGAUCAGCUUGGCAUAGUUUUGACUCAAAGAACAGCGUCUGUUCUUCACUCUAAGAGAUGGAGCUUUCAUAGGAGCUCACUGGAAAUUCAUUCUAAUCCCCAAAUUGGGGACACAGAUUAAGAGAUCCUGUUUCAUGUGCUGUACUUAAAAGGCAGUAACAGGGGCUUCCCUGGUGGCGCAGUGGUUAAGAAUACGCCUGCCAAUGCAGGGGACGUGGGUUCGAGCCCUGGUCCGGAGACACCCCACAUGCCGCG